rnacentral:tRNA from 1 species
UCUCCGAUAGCUCAGCGGCAGAGCAGGAAGCUGUUAACUUCAAGGUCCUAGGUUCGAAUCCUAGUCGGAGAGCCA